rnacentral:rRNA from 1 species
UUUUAUUUGAGAGUUUGAUCCUGGCUCAGGAUGAACGCUGGCGGCGUGCCUAACACAUGCAAGUUGAGCGAUUUACUUCGGUAAAGAGCGGCGGACGGGUGAGUAACGCGUGGGUAACCUACCCUGUACACACGGAUAACAUACCGAAAGGUAUGCUAAUACGGGAUAAUAUAUUUGAGAGGCAUCUCUUGAAUAUCAAAGGUGGGCCAGUACAGGAUGGACCCGCGUCUGAUUAGCUAGUUGGUAAGGUAACGGCUUACCAAGGCGACGAUCAGUAGCCGACCUG